rnacentral:rRNA from 1 species
NAGGGUACCGUCAGUACUAUUGCGAUUAAACAAUAAUAGUUUCUUCCCUCUGACAGAGCUUUACGAUCCUAAAACCUUCAUCACUCACGCGGCAUUGCUGCGUCAGGCUUUCGCCCAUUGCGCAAAAUUCCCC